UAAAAUUUAUAAAAUUAGGUAGUAAAGAAAUUUCUGAAACCUAAAGAAUUUGGCGGUAUUUUAAAUAAUUGGAGGAACCUGUUAUUUAAUUGACAAUCCACAACACAUCUUACCUAAAUUUUAUUUGUAUAUCGUCGUUUUGAUAAUAUUUAAAAAUAAUAAUCAAUUUUAAUUAAUUUUGGAAUUCAGAUCAAGGUGCAGUAUAUUUAGGUUAUAAUGGGUUACAAUAUAUUUAUAUAUAACGAAUAUAAAGUUGAAAUUAUAUUAAAGGUGGAUUCAAAAGUAAAAUUAAAUUAAAAAGUUAAUUUGAUUAAUAAUUUAAAAUAUGC
rnacentral:rRNA from 1 species